UUGGAGAACCAAUAGGAAGCCAUUCUUAGC
rnacentral:piRNA from 1 species